rnacentral:rRNA from 1 species
AACGAACGCUGGCGGCGCGCCCAAUACAUGCAAGUCGAGCGAGAAGACGUAGCAAUACGUUUGUAAAGCGGCGAACGGGUGAGGAAUACAUGGGUAACCUACCCUCGAGUGGGGAAUAACUAGCCGAAAGGUUAGCUAAUACCGCGUACGCUCCUUGGACUUCGGUUCAGGGAGGAAAGCGAUACCGUGGGUAUCGCGCUCUUGGAUGGGCUCAUGUCCUAUCAGCUUGUUGGUGAGGUAACGGCUCACCAAGGCUUCGACGGGUAGCUGGUCUGAGAGGACGAUCAGCCACACUGGCACUGCGACACGGGCCAGACUCCUACGGGAGCAGCAGUAAGAUAUUGCGCAAUGGGCGAAAGCCUGACGCAGCGACGCCGCGUGGGGGAUGAAGGUCUUCGGA